rnacentral:rRNA from 1 species
AUUGAACGCUGGUGGCAUGCCUUUCACAUGCAAGUCGAACGGUAACGCGGGGCAACCUGGCGACGAGUGGCGAACGGGUGAGUAAUGCAUCGGAACGUGCCUGGUAGUGGGGGAUAACUGCUCGAAAGAGCAGCUAAUACCGCAUACGACCUGAGGGUGAAAGGGGGGGAUCGCAAGACCUCUCGCUAUUGGCGCGGCCGAUGUCUGAUUAGCUAGUUGGUGGGGUAAAGGACUACCAACGCCACGAUCUGUAGUUGGUCGGAGAGGACGACCGGCCACACUGGGGCUGAGACACGGCCCAGACUCCUACGGGAGGCGGCAGUGGGGAAUUUUGGACACUGGGCGCAAGCCUGAUCCAGCAAUGCCGCGUGCAGGAAGAAGGCCUUCGGGUUGUAAACUGCUUUUGUCAGGGAAGAAAUCUUCUGGGCUAAUACCCUGGGAGGAUGACGGUACCUGAAGAAUAAGCACCGGCUAACUACGUGCCAGCAGCCGCCGUAAUAC